ACGCUGGCGGCGUGCCUAAUACAUGCAAGUAGAACGCUGAAGGAGGAGCUUGCUUCUCCGGAUGAGUUGCGAACGGGUGAGUAACGCGUAGGUAACCUGCCUGGUAGCGGGGGAUAACUAUUGGAAACGAUAGCUAAUACCGCAUAAGAGUAGAUGUUGCAUGACAUUUGCUUAAAAGGUGCAAUUGCAUCACUACCAGAUGGACCUGCGUUGUAUUAGCUAGUUGGUGGGGUAACGGCUCACCAAGGCGACGAUACAUAGCCGACCUGAGAGGGUGAUCGGCCACACUGGGACUGAGACACGGCCCAGACUCCUACGGGAGGCAGCAGUAGGGAAUCUUCGGCAAUGGACGGAAGCCUGACCGAGCAACGCCGCGUGAGUGAAGAAGGUUUUCGGAUCGUAAAGCUCUGUUGUAAGAGAAGAACGAGUGUGAGAGUGGAAAGUUCACACUGUGACGGUAUCUUACCAGAAAGGGACGGCUAACUACGUGCCAGCAGCCGCGGUAAUACGUAGGUCCCGAGCGUUGUCCGGAUUUAUUGGGCGUAAAGCGAGCGCAGGCGGUUAGAUAAGUCUGAAGUUAAAGGCUGUGGCUUAACCAUAGUACGCUUUGGAAACUGUUUAACUUGAGUGCAAGAGGGGAGAGUGGAAUUCCAUGUGUAGCGGUGAAAUGCGUAGAUAUAUGGAGGAACACCGGUGGCGAAAGCGGCUCUCUGGCUUGUAACUGACGCUGAGGCUCGAAAGCGUGGGGAGCAAACAGGAUCAGAUACCCUGGUAGUCCACGCCGUAAACGAUGAGUGCUAGGUGUUAGACCCUUUCCGGGGUUUAGUGCCGCAGCUAACGCAUUAAGCACUCCGCCUGGGGAGUACGACCGCAAGGUUGAAACUCAAAGGAAUUGACGGGGGGCCCCGCACAAGCGGU
rnacentral:rRNA from 1 species